UAAAAAUGUAAAAGUUUAAUUAAAAAAUUAAUAGUUAAGUUCUUUAAAUUUAAAAAAUUUGGCGGUAUUUUAGUCUAUUCAGAGGAACCUGUUCUAUAAUUGAUAAUCCACGAUUAGAAAUACUUAAUUUUUAAGUUUGUAUAUCGUUGUUUAAAUAAUUUUAUAAGAAUAAUAAUUAUUAAAAAAUUAUAUUUAAUCAAUAAUCAAAUCAAGGUGCAGUUUAUAAUUAAGAAGAAAUGGGUUACAAUAAAAAUUAUUUAUAUGAAUUAUAUUAUUAAAUUAAUAUAUAAAGGAGGAUUUGAUAGUAAAUAUAUAUAUAUAUAUAUAUUGAUUAUAGCUCUAUAAUAUGU
rnacentral:rRNA from 1 species